rnacentral:rRNA from 1 species
GACGAACGCUGACGGCGUGCUUAACACAUGCAAGUCGAACGGAGAUUAAGAGGAAGCUUGCGAAUCUUAAUUUUAGUGGCGGACGGGUGAGUAACGCGUGGGCAACCUACCUAUUAGUGGGGGAUAACAGUUGGAAACGACUGCUAAUACCGCAUAAGCUGACAGAAGCGCAUGCUUUUGUCAGGGAAGAUGGCCUCUGAAUAUGCUAUCGCUAGUAGAUGGGCCCGCGUCUGAUUAGCUAGUUGGUGGGGUAACGGCCUACCAAGGCUGCGAUCAGUAGCCGGCCUGAGAGGGUGGACGGCCACACUGGGACUGAGACACGGCCCAGACUCCUACGGGAGGCAGCAGUGGGGAAUAUUGCGCAAUGGGGGAAACCCUGACGCAGCGACGCCGCGUGAGCGAUGAAGGCUUUAGGGUCGUAAAGCUCUGUUGUAAGGGAAGAAUGUCGGGGAGGAUAAUACCCUUCUCGAAUGACGGUACCUUACGAGUAAGCCCCGGCUAACUACGUGCCAGCAGCCGCGGUAAGACGUAGGGGGCGAGCGUUGUCCGGAAUUACUGGGCGUAAAGAGCACGUAGGCGGAUAUUUAAGUCAGGUGUGAAAGACCGCAGCUCAACUGCGGGGUUGCACCUGAAACUGGGUAUCUUGAGGGCAGGAGAGGGAAGUGGAAUUCCUGGUGUAGCGGUGAAAUGCGUAGAAAUCAGGAGGAACACCAGUGGCGAAGGCGACUUUCUGGACUGACCCUGACGCUGAGGUGCGAAAGCGUGGGUAGCAAACAGGAUUAGAUACCCUGGUAGUCCACGCCGUAAACGAUGGAUACUAGGUGUAGGAGGUAUCGACCCCUUCUGUGCCGCAGCUAACGCAAUAAGUAUCCCGCCUGGGGAGUACGGUCGCAAGGCUGAAACUCAA